GCUCAACACCAGCCUUUGCAGUAUUUUGGCCAUUCAAAGAAGUGUGACAGCUGCCUAUCAUCCCCAAACCAAUGGGAAUGCAGAGGACUUCUGCGUGGUGUGCUCCUUUGCCGAAGAAAAUGCAGAUGAGAGCAUGAUUGAAAAGGUGCAGUGUGGAUUGUGCAGUCGGUGGGCACAUUUUGAGUGUGCCCAAUAUGCCCAUGAAAAUAAGGCUGUAUAUAUUUGCAAGAAAUGCCUUCAAAUAAAAUAAAGA